UACAGAGGGCCCAAGCGUUGUUCGGAUUCAUUGGGCGUAAAGGGUGCGUAGGCGGCGCGGUAAGUCGGGUGUGAAAUCUCGGGGCUUAACUCCGAAACUGCAUUCGAUACUGCCGUGCUUGAGGACUGGAGAGGAGACUGGAAUUUACGGUGUAGCGGUGAAAUGCGUAGAUAUCGUGAGGAAGACCAGUGGCGAAGGCGGGUCUCUGGACAGUUCCUGACGCUGAGGCACGAAGGCCAGGGGAGCAAACGGG
rnacentral:rRNA from 1 species